rnacentral:rRNA from 1 species
UACAGAGGGGGCAAGCGUUGUUCGGAAUUACUGGGCGUAAAGCGUGCGCAGGCGGUUGUGCAAGACAGAUGUGAAAUCCCCGGGCUUAACCUGGGAAUUGCAUUUGUGACUGCACGGCUAGAGUGUGUCAGAGGGGGGGUAGAAUUCACGUGUGAGCAGUGAAAAUGCGUAGAUAUCUGGAGGAACACCGGUGGCGAAGGCGGCAUCCUGGAC